GUAGUCUACAGGUCAGGUCAGUGGUAGUUCAGUAGGCUACAGGCCAGGUCAGGUCAGUGGUAGUUCAGUAGGCUACAGGCCAGGUCAGUGGUAGUUCUGUAGGCUACAGGCCAGGCCAGGUCAGUGGUAGUUCAGUAGGCUACAGGCCAGGCCAGGUCAGUGGUAGUUCAGUAGGCUACAGGCCAGGCCAUGCCAGUGGUAGUUCAGUAGGCUACAGGCCAGGUCAGUGGUAGUUCAGUAGGCUACAGGCCAGGUCAGUGGUAGUUCAGUAGGCUACAGGCCAGGCCAGGUCAGUGGUAGUUCAGUAGACUACAGGCCAGGCCAGUGGUAGUUCAGUAGGCUACAGGCCAGGUCAGGUCAGUGGUAGUUCAGUAGGCUACAGGCCAGGCCAGUGGUAGUUCUGUAGGCUACAGGCCAGGCCAGGUCAGUGGUAGUUCAGUAGGCUACAGGCCAGGUCAGGUCAGUGGUAGUUCAGUAGGCUACAGGCCAGGCCAGGUCAGUGGUAGUUCAGUAGGCUACAGGCCAGGUCAGGUCAGUGGUAGUUCUGUAGGCUACAGGCCAGGUCAGUGGUAGUUCAGUAGGCUACAGGCCAGGUCAG
rnacentral:lncRNA from 1 species